UAAAAUAAAUUUGAAAAUUGAAAAUUAUUAUUUAGGCAGAUAUGAUUGUUCGAAAAAUUUCAAAAUGUAAGAAAACAAAAAUGCAUCAAAAGCAUAAAUCAGAGAAUUACCACCACCACCAUCUAGCUGAUAAGCGCGGGGUUCAAUGCGAGCGGAGCCGCGGGAAGAGCUAGCAUAAAAAUAUUUGUGAAUUAAUUUUUUUUUACAUCUUUUAUCCACCAGUCGUGCACCUUUGGCGAUUAGAAUGACUAACAAAAGCGGCAGAAGAUGAAAUAGCUGGUAUGAAUAAAACCCAACCAGUACCUUAUUGUACGGAACAGCCUUCAACGUCAUCCAAAACGCAAUUCAAUCUCUUUUGAGUUUCCUCUAUAAAAAAUUGAGGAGAAGAUUAAAUCAACAGAGUGGAUGCAAUAAUAAUAAAAAAUCUCAAGCGGCCAAAGACUUCCCCAUAUUGUUCACCUUUGGACUAUUGAAAGAUCAACGAAAAUGAUUCGAUGUCUCUCAAUAUCUGUGUCAGUGUCACAUUUGUGUUUCAGCUACUUCUACAGAGUCAGAGAGAGUGUUUAGCCAUGCUGAAUUGCUAAUAUCAGAUAGGAGAGCAACACUAAACGCUAAAAACGUCAAAAAAUUACUAUUUAUAUACCAAAAUUAAAUAAGUGGAUUAUUGAGAAAUAAAGUGCUCUAUGGAACCGGUUUUUAACUGGUCAGCUCUCAGAACAUUUUUUGUAAUAACAUGAAUAAAUUUUAUGUGUAACUUUAUUAACUUUUCCGUG